rnacentral:rRNA from 1 species
UACAGAGGGGGCAAGCGUUAUUCGGAAUUAUUGGGCGUAAAGGGCGCGUAGGCGGCUUGGCAAGUGGAUGGUGAAAUCCCUCGGCUUAACCGAGGAACUGCCGUCCAAACUGCUUUGCUUGAGACCGGGAGAGGUGAGUGGAAUUCCCAGUGUAGCGGUGAAAUUCGUAGAUAUUCGCAAGAACACCAGUGGCGAAGGCGGCUCACUGGCCCGGUACUGACGCUGAGGUGCGAAAGCGUGGGGAGCAAACAGG